rnacentral:lncRNA from 1 species
UUAAUUUUCAUUACAUUUUUUUUUGCAAGGGAGGGGGAAGAUUUCUCAAGGUCACUUCGUGGAUUUUAGAUUUUUUCCCCCUCUCCUUCCCUCUUCCUCGCCUUCUGGAUCUCUUUCCCCUCCAAACCAAUCCUCCCCGUGUUGUUUCUGCCCUCCAUCGGAUCACUGGUGCUUCUCCAUAGAGGUCUGUUGGAUUAUAUUUCUCUUCUAUUCUGCCCCCCCCUUCUCUUCCUUUGGAUUUUAUAAGCCUGGAGGAAAGAGCCCCUUAAAGAGAGAGAGGGAGAGAGACCCAGCCUGGAUUAGUAGGGAGGCGUGUAUCUGUGGGGCCUCACCCCCCCCCAACAUCGCUCGGAUUCUGAAAUCCUUUAAAAAAAAUCUGGGAUAUUAUAAUAAAUUUUUUUCUUUCGGAAAUGGAUGGUAAAAUCAGACAGAGCAGGAAAUCUCGCUCCCAAAGGGACCGCGUGAGAAGGAGGGACCCCAAUGGCCGGGACCGUCCAAAUCACAGCCCUUCCUCCACCUCGGAAAGGGAACGAAGCCCGGGCAAGGAAAAUACAAGCCAAAACUGCCCCAACCCAAAAAGCCAGGCUUCUGCUGUCAGGAAUGCCAGACCUCCGAGGAGGCGGCGGCGAGAAUCCAGUUCCCAGGAAGAAGAUUUAAUUGAUGGAUUUGCCAUUGCCAGCUUCAGUACCAUGGAAGCCUUAGAGGAGUACAACUCUCAGAAUCUCUUACCCAGCAGAGGCUGUAUCAGAUUCCAAAUUGUUGUUAGCAGCCAUCAAGACGUGCCAUCUUCAGCUAAGGGCGAAUCUCACCUGAAACCUUGGAGAGUGGCUGCCAGUCAAAGUUGUCAAUACUGAGUUGAACUUUUCUUUACCUCAUUCCCUGGGUAUUAUGUAUUACUUCUUAUUAUUUUGUACUUCCUCAUUUAAUGUUGACUAUGUUUAUUCACCUUGUGAUUCUUUCCCCCUUGUGUCUUACUUCCUUUUCCAUGCUGUUUUAUGCCAAUAAAGGUUUAUUGUACUGUGCUACUACUGAGUUU